rnacentral:tRNA from 1 species
AUCAUUUUAGUUUCAAACAUUUUAUUUACACUAAAAAAAUAUUUAUUUAAAUUUUUAAUU